AGCGAACGCUGGCGGCAGGCUUAACACAUGCAAGUCGAGCGGGCGUAGCAAUACGUCAGCGGCAGACGGGUGAGUAACGCGUGGGAACAUACCUUUUGGUUCGGAACAACACAGGGAAACUUGUGCUAAUACCGGAUAAGCCCUUACGGGGAAAGAUUUAUCGCCGAAAGAUUGGCCCGCGUCUGAUUAGCUAGUUGGUGAGGUAACGGCUCACCAAGGCGACGAUCAGUAGCNGGUCUGAGAGGAUGAUCAGCCACAUUGGGACUGAGACACGGCCCAAACUCCUACGGGAGGCAGCAGUGGGGAAUAUUGGACAAUGGGCGAAAGCCUGAUCAGCCAUGCCGCGUGAGUGAUGAAGGCCCUAGGGUUGUAAAGCUCUUUUGUGCGGGGAAGAUAAU
rnacentral:rRNA from 1 species